rnacentral:rRNA from 1 species
AACGAACGCUGGCGGCAUGCCUAACACAUGCAAGUCGAACGAGACCUUCGGGUCUAGUGGCGCACGGGUGCGUAACGCGUGGGAACCUGCCCUUAGGUUCGGAAUAACUCCCCGAAAGGGGUGCUAAUACCGGAUAAUGUCUUCGGACCAAAGAUUUAUCGCCUUUGGAUGGGCCCGCGUUGGAUUAGCUAGUUGGUAGGGUAAAAGCCUACCAAGGCGACGAUCCAUAGCUGGUCUGAGAGGAUGAUCAGCCACACUGGGACUGAGACACGGCCCAGACUCCUCCGGGAGGCAGCAGUGGGGAAUAUUGGACAAUGGGCGAAAGCCUGAUCCAGCACUGCCGCGUGAGUGAUGAAGGCCUUAGGGUUGUAAAGCUCUUUUACCCGGGAUGAUAAUGACAGUACCGGGAGAAUAAGCUCCGGCUAACUCCGUG